GAUAUUUAAAUUAUUUUCAACUCAUCCCAAUUACAUCAGACUUUUCAGAACUAUGUCUCUGAAUUUAGUUCAUGCCGAAAGAGGUAAUGCGUGAACAGGGAGGAGGUAACGCGUGAACAGGGAGGAGGUAACGCGUGAACAGGGAGGAGGUAAUGCGUGAACAGGGAGGAGGUAACGCGAGAACAGGAAGGAGGUAAUGCGAGAACAGGAAGGAGGUAACGCGAGAACAGGAAGGAGGUAAUGCGUGAACAGGGAGGAGGUAACGCGUGAACAGGAAGGAGGUAACGCGAGAACAGGGAGGAGGUAACGCGAGAACAGGAAGGAGGUAAUGCGUGAACAGGGAGGAGGUAACGCGUGAACAGGGAGGAGGUAACGCGUGAACAAGGGAGGAGGUAACGCGUGAACAGGGAGGAGGUAACGCGUGAACAGGGAAGAGGUAACGCGUGAACAGGGAGGAGGUAACGCGUGAACAGGGAGGAGGUAACGCGUGAACAGGGUGUGGCUGAA